GCAUCCGGCAAGAACUUGGAACUGUGAUCUGUGUGGUAAUGGCCGCUUUUCGACGCUUUUCACAUCACAGUCUGAGUUCUUGCUCGAUGG
rnacentral:pre_miRNA from 1 species